rnacentral:rRNA from 1 species
ACUCCUACGGGAGGCAGCAGUAGGAAUUUCCGCAAUGGACGAAGUCUGACGGAGCAAUGCCGCGUGAGUGAUGAAGGUUUCGAAUCGUAAAGCUCUGUUGUAAGGGAAGAAUAGCAAGAAUAGGAAAUGAUUCUUGUCUGACGGUACCUUACCAGAAAGCCACGGCUAACUACGUGCCAGCAGCCGCGGUAAUACGUAGGUGGCAAGCGUUAUCCGGAAUUAUUGGGCGUAAAGCGCAUGUAGGCGGCUCUUUAAGUCUGAUGUGAAAGCCUGUGGCUCAACCACAGAAUUGCAUUGGAUACUGGAGAGCUAGAAUCUUGGAGAGGUAAGUGGAAUUUCAUGUGUAGCGGUGGAAUGCGAGAUAUAUGAAGGACACCAAUGGC